CGGGUGUGCAAAGCGGCAGUCCGUCUCUCCCCGGGCACAGUUUCCGCGCUGGAACUCCCUGCAUACCUGAGACACGGGAGAGAGCACAGCGCUGCAGAGGGAAGCCUGGUGGCCAGAGCGGAGGGGGAGACGGUGAAUACUGAAAUGGAGGAGUUAAUCUGAACUCUGUUCUUCACCUAAAACAAGGAAGAAAAGACACACGCUGCUUCUACCACUGCGUCUCCAAACACAAACAUGACUGCGGUACCUCCAGUUUAUCAGUCCUGAGAAGUUUCUGAGUUGCAGUUGAGCCCGGGACAGUGACGGGUGGACUUCCAGG